AAGACAAACCGCAACUUCAGAGCCAGUGCAGUUUCUUUUGUGCACGGUGAGAUGGCUUCCCUGGCGGUGAAGGAUUCAGAGCUGAAAUGCUACACUGUCUGGAGCUCUAAUGACACGUCUCUUUCACUCAAACAGAGGUCGGCUGGCCAAAGGCACGCAGACAGAAGGACUCCCUGAAAGCAGGGGACUGUUCUUCAAAGUCUGGCUUACAGUAACAGCAUACUAUCUUGCUGAGUGGAUGUGGGGAGCAUGUGGAAAGGUGAAAUCAGAAAGGUCAACUGCAGCCAGGUCACGGCCGGCUGGCAUGGGGCUGGCCCGCACCGCACCUCAAGAAUCAAGAAUCCGACUUCUCCAGUAACAGUCUGAUUUCUCAGGUUGCCGUCACCACAUUCAGCCAAAAAUAAAACUGCGGCCUAUGA